AGUGGAAUUGCUGGGUUACAUGGUAAUUCUAUUUUGAACUUUUUGAGGGACUGCCAAACUGUUUUCCGAAGUGGCUGUACCAUUUUACAUUCCUAGAAGCAAU
rnacentral:pre_miRNA from 1 species